AAUAACCGCCAUGAUUAUUUUACAGUUCCAGUUCCAGACGGUACUGGAACGCUGAAGGGUGUUUUCCGACAGUACAACCGCCAAGGGAUUACAACGCCAAAGAUUCAUUAACAAGCAUGGACAUCUUCGGAAUAUUUAAUCACCAAAUAAACCAAUGAUACUACAAACUUUGGUUAGCAUUAUUCAUACCACUUCACUGGUGGCUUCCCUUGAUGAACUGACGUGUCUUUUAAAAAUGGAUAACGUAGGAAUGGUCCUUGAAAUUUUUCCAACGGAGAUGGUCAAAUGACUACGCAGUUUGCUCUGUGGAAGUUAAUUACAGUUUAACAUUAACAGUUUCAGAUUGGAGAUGCUCAGCCACGUUUAACAGAACUGAGCAAUAAACUCCCUGGCAAUUGUGAAGGUUCCCUUCAGAAGAAAUCAUGUGAAGUGAUACCAGGCACUUGAACUUAAUUCUAGAAGAAAAACAGGAGCCACUGUAGCUUGCACGAAUCUAUGGUGAGUGAAGAGAUAAGGAACAGCUAAAAAUCUCGCUAGUGAAGUGAAGAGGGUCAGCACCAAAUCUCAAGAGAAGUGAAGAGGGUCUUCGCACACAGAAAUGCAGAGGGUCUUUGCUCACAAUCUCCAGAGAAGAGGGCUAGCACAAACUCUUCAGAAAAGAGUAGAGAUUGUCUAGGGUCUCGGCACACGAUCUCCAGAGUGAAGCAAAGAAGGUCGGCACACACUCACCAGAGAGAAGAGCUACCACAAAGAGCCAUCACAUAAUCUCAAGAGAGGAGAGCCAGCACAAAAGCUCAAGAGAGAAGAGCCAUUUCAAAAACUUUAGAUGAGGGGGCCAGCAUAAAAACACCAGAUGGAAGAGAAGAGCUACAACACAAAACUACAACACAAAAACAAAGAAGAGAGGUGUUUAAAAGAACUGUUGCGCUGAAUGUUUUCAAAUUCUGUGAUAUAAAAAGCAGAGGCACAAAUAAAAUAUUUCUUAAUUUUUAUUAAAUACCCAAAGUGAACACUCGAGAGAUCUGUACAUAUGCUAUACGUUUUCAUUUCCUUUAGGUGCUGUUUCUUCCACCCUCUUGUAAUUGCAUAGGUGGUCCU